AUAUAGGGCAAUCUGUCUUUAAGCAGCAAUGAAUUACUCUAAAAGAAAUAAAUCCUAGAUACUUUCCCCUUCAAGUCAAGCAUCUUGU
rnacentral:pre_miRNA from 1 species